UUUUUUCUAUUUUUACACAUUUUUUUAUUAUUUCGAUUUUUUUGAUUUUUUGGCUCGGUUCGAUUUUAAUUUUAAAAAUUUCGGUUAAUCUGGUUCGAUUUAUUUGGUUAAUUCAGUUCGGUUCAAUUUUUUUAAAUUGAAUUUAAAUUUAAUUUAGUUUGAUUUUAGCAAAAAAUCGAACCGAAAACUGAAUGCUCACCCCUACAAGCCAAAAUGCGACAUGUUCAUGAUAAUUGCCACUCAAAAGUCAAAAGUGUUCUCUCAAGCCUUAGAGCUCAUAAGUUAUAUGUUCGGAUGUCAAAUGUGACUUCUACCCCGGCCUUUAAUUUGUUGGGUAUGUACAAGUUACAUUCUCAAAAAAAAAAAAAAAAAAGGAUUGUAGUAUGUGGUUAUGUUGGUUCAUGUUAUAGGAGAAUAUUUGGUAACUAAGUUAUGCCUUUGUGUGGCAUUAAUUGGAUAAUCGAGAUAUGAUCUUUUUUCGCUUUACUUUGUUUUUUGUUUUCUCUAUUUUUAUUUCAUAAAAUAAAAUGAACAUAUUUCAACACAUCUUUAAUGUUAUUAUCUUUUGAAUUCUUUGAGUCAUUAGACUCAACAAAAUUAAAGAACAUAUACAAUCAAACAAUUAGUUGGUCAUAACGUAGCUCUAACCCUUUCCCUUUUUUUUACACGCAAACACACACACGCGCGUGCACGCGCGCACAAUGCAUGUGAUAAAAACUUUUCCUUUGUGCGUGCAUGUUUUGGCCUAGCGGUAGUGUGGUAAAUGUCCAAGGCCAGAAGUCCUGGGUUCGAAUCCACCGUGGUGUGGCCUUUAAAUUUCUUUAUUUAAUUGUUAAUUUAUAUAUAAAAAAAAACUUCUUUUGCGUAGUUGAUUUGAUCAAUUUACAAAAGUGGUUGUUCUCACAAUCAACUUUCCUUUAACUUUUCACUCAUAAUCUCACUAUAUACAUAUCUGUAUGUUUGUUCUUAGUUGGAAACCUUUUCCUUCAUCACCAUUCAUGAUCUUUGAGAGAAUUAAUUAGCUUAUUCCAAGGAUGGAUUCCAUCAGGCCUUGGCAGACGUGAAAUGUUGAAUUAAUGUGAGUUGUAAACUUUUGAAGCCUUUGGACCAUAAAUAACUAGUUGACAGGAGCAAUGAUAACUUCAUAAGCUUAUUAGGUUGUAGCUAGGAAACGACAAUUCAGAUAACAGGUAAAUUUUCUUUUUCUUUUCGAAACAUAACAUAUAUAACAUCUUUGAUUGAGCUAGAUAUAUAUGUCUUACAAUUAUAUUUGAAUAAAUGAUGAAAUUUGACACAGAGACUCACAAAGUCACAAUAUACAAAAUGGUGAUCUGUGGCAAAAUGGGCUCAAGACUCAACGAUUUGGGUUGGCCCUUGCCUUUCCAAAUUUGUAGGCUGUACAUAACCUACUGGGAGGUUCACUGGGCGAGCAUUGAACUUCAAAAAUUAAUGUCGGUCGUUUCUCUCACCAAAAAAUGGUGAGGUAAGUGGCUAAAGAAAGAUGAAGGAAUCUAGUACAAAAUACUCAAGUUUGAAGGAUUUUCAGCGAUUAAAACUGGACGUAUGUCCGAUUGGAAAAGGUCUACCAAAAUUGGAUUUAAUCCAAGCAUCAAAUUUUGAACAUCACAAAAUAUUUUCAAGAGCUCAUAAAUAUUUGAAAUUUUACCACGAGGCAGAAGAUAUAUGAAUAGGCAAACUGUUAAAAUUUGAGAAUUUUUAGAGAUAAUUUAGUCUAUUGAAACUGGCUCGCAAUCCACUGUCGUGAUAGUGUGCUUUCGGCAGAGUUCAACCCUCAUCCCAAACUGGGUUCUUAACCCUUAAAAGCUCAUCAAACCCACCAAUAAAGACCAUGACACACCCAAACAUGAUAAAUCUAUACAUAUAAAACAAAUAUUCAUGCUCAUCUCAAGACUAGCCAAAUAGAUACUCACCUUUGUAGCUUAAUAUUUACUCUAACUUUAUGUCCUAAUCCUUUUCUCAUGUCCAUUCCCUUUCUUUCCUAGCUUUCUUUAGGCUUCAAGGGGAUGCUGUUGGGGUGGCGAAGUAAUGGAGAAGAAAUCUUGGUAAUGAGCAGAGAAGUGGUAUAAGCCAGAGGAGCGGGCUUCAUCAGAGAAACGGGCUUCCGCAGAGAAGUCAGAAGGAUGGGCCUUGCCAGAGGAAUGGUCUUCGCCAGAGGAAUCACCAAAAGAGCGGGAAAUUCUCCCGCUUGAGGGCAGAAUUACUACUAUACCCCCGACCACGCAAGACGCAUGUUCCAGCAAUGAAGUUACCAUUCUACCCUUAACGUGUAAUCUAUAAAUAGCCAUGAGCAUGUACCUUGUAGACUUACGCUUACUUCACUUGCAAUACAACAGCAACCGGAUUCUCGUGCU